UACAGAGGUCUCAAGCGUUGUUCGGAUUCAUUGGGCGUAAAGAGCGUGUAGGCGGCCAGAUAAGUCCGCUGUGAAAUCUCGAGGCUCAACUUCGAGCUGUCGGUGGAAACUAUCUGGCUAGAGUCCGGAAGAGGAGAAUGGAAUUCCUGGUGUAGCGGUGGAAUGCGCAGAUAUCAGGAGGAACACCGGUGGCGAAGGCGGGUCUCUGGGCAGUAACUGACGCUGAGGAGCGAAAGCGUGGGGAGCGAACAGG
rnacentral:rRNA from 1 species